rnacentral:tRNA from 1 species
GGGGAUUUAGCUCAGGGGUUCCGGUGUCCGCCUUGCAAGCGCAAGGACCUGAGUUCAAUCCCCAGUAGCCCCC